rnacentral:SRP_RNA from 1 species
GCCAGGUGUGGUGGCGCACUCCUGUAGUCCCAGCUACUCGGGAGGCUGAGGCAGGAGGAUCGCUUGAGCCUGGGAGGUGGGGGCUGCAGUGAGCUGAGAUUAUGCCAUUGCACUCCAGCCUGGGUGAAAGAGUGAGACUCUGUCUCAA